rnacentral:rRNA from 1 species
UCCCGGAUGUUAGCGGCGGACGGGUGAGUAACACGUGGGUAACCUGCCUGUAAGACUGGGAUAACUCCGGGAAACCGGAGCUAAUACCGGAUAGUUCCUUGAACCGCAUGGUUCAAGGAUGAAAGACGGUUUCGGCUGUCACUUACAGAUGGACCCGCGGCGCAUUAGCUAGUUGGUGAGGUAACGGCUCACCAAGGCGACGAUGCGUAGCCGACCUGAGAGGGUGAUCGGCCACACUGGGACUGAGACACGGCCCAGACUCCUACGGGAGGCAGCAGUAGGGAAUCUUCCGCAAUGGACGAAAGUCUGACGGAGCAACGCCGCGUGAGUGAUGAAGGUUUUCGGAUCGUAAAGCUCUGUUGUUAGGGAAGAACAAGUGCAAGAGUAACUGCUUGCACCUUGACGGUACCUAACCAGAAAGCCACGGCUAACUACGUGCCAGCAGCCGCGGUAAUACGUAGGUGGCAAGCGUUGUCCGGAAUUAUUGGGCGUAAAGGGCUCGCAGGCGGUUUCUUAAGUCUGAUGUGAAAGCCCCCGGCUCAACCGGGGAGGGUCAUUGGAAACUGGGAAACUUGAGUGCAGAAGAGGAGAGUGGAAUUCCACGUGUAGCGGUGAAAUGCGUAGAGAUGUGGAGGAACACCAGUGGCGAAGGCGACUCUCUGGUCUGUAACUGACGCUGAGGAGCGAAAGCGUGGGGAGCGAACAGGAUUAGAUACCCUGGUAGUCCACGCCGUAAACGAUGAGUGCUAAGUGUUAAGGGGGUUUCCGCCCCUUAGUGCUGCAGCUAACGCAUUAAGCACUCCGCCUGGGGGAGUACGGUCGCAAGACUGAAACUCAAAGGAAUUGACGGGGGCCCGCACAAGCGGUGGAGCAUGUGGUUUAAUUCGAAGCAACGCGAAGAACCUUACCAGGUCUUGACAUCCUCUGACAACCCUAGAGAUAGGGCUUUCCCUUCGGGGACAGAGUGACAGGUGGUGCAUGGUUGUCGUCAGCUCGUGUCGUGAGAUGUUGGGUUAAGUCCCGCAACGAGCGCAACCCUUGAUCUUAGUUGCCAGCAUUCAGUUGGGCACUCUAAGGUGACUGCCGGUGACAAACCGGAGGAAGGUGGGGAUGACGUCAAAUCAUCAUGCCCCUUAUGACCUGGGCUACACACGUGCUACAAUGGACAGAACAAAGGGCUGCGAGACCGCAAGGUUUAGCCAAUCCCACAAAUCUGUUCUCAGUUCGGAUCGCAGUCUGCAACUCGACUGCGUGAAGCUGGAAUCGCU